UCUUCCCUCCUGAAGUUCCUCCAAGUAUCCUUGGCCAUUGGUCAGGGGUCCCAUUAGAGAAACAUAUCUAUGUGUGUUUAUCAUCGUCAGUAAUGAAUAUGCUGCCAGCAACUGGUGGCCAGCCCCUGAAGGUGUCAUCAUGAACAAAAUGACAGAGGAGGACCCUAGGUGAUACAAACUUUGGCGAUGUGUGUCUGAAUGUGACAAUCCCCCAGAAAGUGGUGUUCUCGAAGUAUGGCAGGCAGAUGGGAGCACGAACCUGCAGCUUUUACCAAUUAUUGGCGGUGUGAAAUUGGUUUCUGCUUCAAGUUCCUGCCCUGAUUCCCUCAAUGAUGCACUGUGAUUUGAAAGUAAGUGAUGUAAAGAAAGAAAAGUCAUAACUAUAUGACAGGAAGAGACACUACAGCAUCAGUUUAGAAGUUGAGAAGAACACUGACCUUGGAAUAAUAAAAAGUUCUCUGCUAA